UACGUAGGUGGCAAGCGUUGUUCGGAAUUAUUGGGCGUAAAGGGCGCGUAGGCGGUUUGUUAAGUCGGCUGUGAAAGCCCGGGGCUCAACCCCGGAGGGUCAGCCGAUACUGGCAGACUAGAGUACGGAAGAGGUAGCUGGAAUUCCCGGUGUAGUGGUGAAAUGCGUAGAUAUCGGGAGGAACACCAGUGGCGAAGGCGACUACCUGGCCUGUUCUUGACGCUGAGGCGCGAAAGCUAGGGGAGCAAACGGG
rnacentral:rRNA from 1 species